rnacentral:rRNA from 1 species
UACGGGGGGGGCAAGCGUUGUUCGGAAUUACUGGGCGUAAAGGGCUCGUAGGUGGCCAACUAAGUCAGACGUGAAAUCCCUCGGCUUAACCGGGGAACUGCGUCUGAUACUGGAUGGCUUGAGUUCGGGAGAGGGAUGCGGAAUUCCAGGUGUAGCGGUGAAAUGCGUAGAUAUCGGAAGGAACAUCAGUGGCGAAAGCGGCUUCCUGGACCAGCACCGACGUUCAGGCACGAAAGCGUGGGGAGCAAACAGG